UGUGUGAUGCUCAAUAUUAUUUCCUGUGUGAUAUUUUUAUUCAUUAUUCAUGUAAAUAAAGUGUGUUGUCCUACGAUGGCUUCUUUGCUGUAAAUAUUGGCCUCUGAACAACACUUGUACUGACGAUAAAGAUUUUGUGAGAAAAUGCCAUUUGUGCUCAAUUUAUAUUUUCGAAGUUUUGUAUGGACCUACAAUCCAAGGUAUUUUAAAACAAGAUCUUAUUCUCCGUCAAGUUCUCGAUGGGCAUAAUGAAGAAAACGUAGUUGAAUAACAACAGAUCACAGAAAGAACUUUGGGAAGAAAAAUCGAUAUAUACUAAGAUACUGAUAAGAAGAAUUUUGUCAAGGUAGGCUUAUUGGUAUCUUUGAAAGCAAUGACUCACAAAUAUAUAUUUUGCCCAUGCCAGAAUAAAAAUAUCUGGAUGGUAGCAAAUGAUUCGAGGCAAACUAUAUGGCAUACGGCAAACGAUUCAAAGCCUACUAUUCAAGUAAUGUGAUGUUGCAUUCUGUGGUACCAAGUUUUUAAAUGUUAUGGUAAGGUAAAAGAAACACAAUAAAAAUGUUUAUUGUGAAUAAUAUUUCCAUUAUUUAGCAUAAAAGGAGAUGACAUCAGAUAUCAGAAUGAAUAAUUAUGUAUAUGUGAAGAAGUUUUAAAAUGUUUAAAUUUUUAUCUUUCUUACCAAAAAAAAAAAAAAAAUACUUUUGAAAUUGUUCUUUCUAAGAUUGCUGCUAUAUUUAGAGAUUUGUUAAUAUGAAUUUAUUAAUACUAUGUAA